UACGGAGGGUCCAAGCGUUAUCCGGAAUCAUUGGGUUUAAAGGGUGCGUAGGCGGCGCGGUAAGUCGGGUGUGAAAUCUCGGAGCUUAACUCCGAAACUGCAUUCGAUACUGCCGUGCUUGAGGACUGGAGAGGAGACUGGAAUUUACGGUGUAGCGGUGAAAUGCGUAGAUAUCGUAAGGAAGACCAGUGGCGAAGGCGGGUCUCUGGACAGUUCCUGACGCUGAGGCACGAAGGUCAGGGGAGCAAACGGG
rnacentral:rRNA from 1 species